rnacentral:rRNA from 1 species
UACGGAGGGUGCAAGCGUUAUCCGGAAUCAUUGGGUUUAAAGGGUCCGCAGGCGGUCUAUAUACGAGUGGUGAAAUCUCUCGGCUCAACCGAGAAACUGCCAUUGAUACUGUAGGACUUGAAUUCGGUCGAAGUGGGCGGAAUAUGACAUGUAGCGGUGAAAUGCUUAGAUAUGUCAUAGAACACCGAUAGCGAAGGCAGCUCACUAGGCCUGGAUUGACGCUCAGGGACGAAAGCGUGGGGAGCAAACAGG